UGAUAAGGCAUCUUCAUCACAUGCUAGUGUUUUUGCAAUGAUCAUCACCAUUCUCUUCAUCUGUUUCGUAAUCUUUCAAGGCGAAAGGCAGUGAACGGUUUGUGUUGCUGCUGAGGUUGGAGAGUUAAGGACAAAGCUGUCGUUGCCAAAAUUCUGGAGCGAAGGGCUGUGCUGGUGCCAAAUUAUAGAGGGAAACUUCCGGUAUUCGUAAGGUCUUGGGUGUUUAGGAGUGCUUUUGCAAAGAAUCGGAAUCAGGUGUGUAAACACAACUUGGAAACAGAAACCGGUGAAAAGCUGAAAAGAAGUGAUUGUCGAUGCCACAUCGGGAUGCUGUCACCCAAGUGGUAAUCCCCAGACAUAGGUGGUUCGGUGUGACGGAGGACUCAGCGGUGGCCACACAACCUAUUUUAUUCAACUUAGUACCUAAUAAUAAUUUUGCUUUUAUUUUGGGGGUGUUUUACUGUAGUAAUGGCCUCUUUGGAUUUUUACUUUUAAAUUGGGGUUUUUAUUUUUUUUGGACUUACAACUGUUAGUAGUAGGGAUAAUCAAGUUUUUAAAACCAAUCAAAGGUUUUAACAAAAUAUGCACAAAUAUGCAAACUGUUUUAAAAAGCUACCGCAACGUGCAAUAUUUUGCAAACUAACGACUAAAUAGAAAAUCCCUAUUUAGGAUUAAUAAAAGACAACGACGAGAUCUAAACGAAAAAUGUUUUAAGCAAAGUUACGGUUAUUUUAACAUGAGCAUCAGUUUUCAAACACACUAUCAUGUGACAUCUUCAGA